UGAUUUUACGUAUUGUCUUCUUGCUCCCCAUCACUUUUUCCUUUUGCUUUGUGUUUUAGAUAGCAAGUAUGCAAGCAUCGACUGUCCGGUUUUAUUCAUCUAAGCUUUACCUUCAGCACUGACUGCUGAACGCACUGACCAUACUGAGCCACGACGAAAGGAGUAGUUCCUAUGAGAUGUACUAGAAGUGCAUGAUGGACUCACAGACAAUCGGCGAGAUGCCAGGUUCUUCAGAAUGUGCUCUGCUCGUUGAUGAGAACGUGAUACUGCCCGGGCUGAAAAUGAUUUCUGUGCCAAAGGGUUACAAAAAACAUGGUGCAGUUGGCUUGGGUAUUAAGCACAACUAGUGCAAAAUAUUAGUUAGUUAGUUAGUUAGUUAAUAGUUAAAUGGAGACCAUGAGUGUCCUGACAAAAUCUGUGAAAAACAGAACUCAACCUAAUUUCCAUCACAUCUAGGGAAACUUCUGAAACAUCCAAACUGGCUGCAUAUCUGAAGCCAGUUGAGUUAAGGCUGCAAUCCUAUGUACCU